UACGUAGGGGGCAAGCGUUGUCCGGAAUCAUUGGGCGUAAAGAGCACGCAGGCGGUUUGGCAAGUCGGAUGUGAAAACCCGGAGCUCAACUCCGGACCUGCAUCCGAAACUGCCCGACUAGAGGUAGGUAGGGGAGAUCGGAAUUCCUGGUGUAGCGGUGAAAUGCGUAGAUAUCGGAAGGAACACCGGUGGCGAAAGCGGCGCGCUGGACCUCUUCUGACGCUGAGGCGCGAAAGCCAGGGGAGCGAACGGG
rnacentral:rRNA from 1 species